GAUGAACGCUGGCGGCGUGCCUAAUACAUGCAAGUCGAGCGAACAGACGAGGAGCUUGCUCCUCUUACGUUAGCGGCGGACGGGUGAGUAACACGUGGAUAACCUACCUAUAAGACUGGGAUAACUUCGGGAAACCGGAGCUAAUACCGGAUAAUAUAUUGAACCGCAUGGUUCAAUAGUGAAAGACGGUUUUGCUGUCACUUAUAGAUGGAUCCGCGCCGCAUUAGCUAGUUGGUAAGGUAACGGCUUACCAAGGCAACGCUGCGUAGCCGACCUGAGAGGGUGAUCGGCCACACUGGAACUGAGACACGGUCCAGACUCCUACGGGAGGCAGCAGUAGGGAAUCUUCCGCAAUGGGCGAAAGCCUGACGGAGCAACGCCGCGUGAGUGAUGAAGGUCUUCGGAUCGUAAAGCUCUGUUAGUAGGGAGGAACAAAUGUGUAAGUAACUAUGCACGUCUUGACGGUACCUAAUGAGAAAGCAACGGCUAACUACGUG
rnacentral:rRNA from 1 species